CCAGUAGGUAAUCAUUUCCAGCUGUGCCAUUGUAAUAGCUUUGAGACCCUUCUCCUGGGAAAAAAAGAGACUUCAGUGUCUGGAAUUACUGAAGCAUUUGGCAAGUCUCUUCUCGUAUCUGCAAAUAAAAUCUGUCACAGAGAAGAAUUGAAGAUAUUUCCAAAGCGCUUGGAAAGGUUAAACAAAAGGCUAUGUGGUGUUUGGUCUUUGACUUGAAAGGACAAGACGUAUCUCCCCUCUUCAGUGAAAUGCCUGCAAUUUCUAUGGCUUCUGUUACACCUGCUGAAGUCUUCCCUUGUUGUCUCCCUAUUCUAAUAAGUUCUUGAGAAAAUCAGAUGUUGAUGAGACUUGCCUGCAACAGACAGAGUUCAACUUUCUAGGAACCUCUCAAAAUAAAUAAAAACUUCUUUUGUAUAAUCUGAAACAUAAGCCCAAAACAACUUGCCCAGAUCACAGACCUUUUGUUUAAAGUACAUCAGAACUUUGCAACAGUAAAAUACCAGAAAUGGCAACUAAGAUGAAAUAUGGAUAUCUGUGUGUCCUUGUUCCUUUGUGCCUGUGGGUCUUUUUUCCAAUCAAUAAAAAUGUAAAUGAUAAAAAAAGUAUGUGUUAGAUUGGAGAAAUGUGGAGGGUUUAAACAGUUAAAGAAGAAUUACAAGAACAUUUUAAGAUUCUGUCAGUUUUCCUGGCUGAAAAGGAAUUCCAAAUCAACACAGCUAUUUUGGCUUACUUUUUGUAACCUUAAACCUUUUUGAGAAGUGCCAGUAUUCUCUCUUUAACAUAACAUGUCCGUGCAUGACAACCUGGAGAAUUGUACAUGGAAAAUGAGAGAGAAGGCACAGAGAGGAAGGAAGGAAGGAAGGAAGAAAGAAAGUUCUACCAAAACAAAAUUGUAAACUUUACUGUUUAGUGGUCUGUUUUGCAUCUACUGAAAUUUUUUUAACUCAUUUGAGGCUACCACAGGUAUGAAUUGACACAAUGUAAAACCCCAGUGGGGAAGACACUUUUGGGAUUGUUUUUUGAUAAACAAAGAAACUUGAAAACU